UACAGAGGGUGCAAGCGUUGUUCGGAAUUACUGGGCGUAAAGCGCGUGUAGGCGGCUUGAUGAGUCAGACGUGAAAUCCCUCGGCUUAACCGAGGAACUGCGUCUGAUACUGUCAGGCUUGAGUGUCGGAGGGGAUGGCGGAAUUCCUGGUGUAGAGGUGAAAUUCGUAGAUAUCAGGAGGAACAUCCGUGGCGAAGGCGGCCAUCUGGAAGACAACUGACGCUGAGACGCGAAAGCGUGGGUAGCAAACAGG
rnacentral:rRNA from 1 species